UCUAUUAUUUUCUCUCAACAUUUUUGCUUGUAACAUUUAUAUUAACUGGUGUUGUAUUGUUAUAAAUGAGAUCCAGUGGCACUAAUCAAUGUUUUCUGAUGGAUUUAACAGCUACCAGAGUUUGUUCAGGAGUCAACAGGUACGAGCAAAAACACUCUUUUCUCCACUUUGACACUGUGACAUCAUCUGUCAGACAGGAAGUGCUCAUGAAAUUCUGAUGUCUUCCACAGUAACGAGACUCUCCUGUCCGCUGGACUCGUGAGCGCCCCCUGUAGUGUGGACCUGCAGCAGUACGCUUGCUCUUCGAUCACAAGCUUCACUCCUGAAAGCCUGGCUGGGCUCCUGAAGUGUCAACUAUCCAGCAGCAGAAGUUACUCCAAGGAGAUCUGGAAACUCCUUUUCACCAAAGCAAAUGAUGUUCUGGACGGAGCCCUCGUCAUCUUCUCCAGCACAGCGGCAAAUAUGUCUCAGCCAAUCAGAGGUGAUGUCGUGUCCCAAGUGCUGGAUGUGAUUGGAGAGCUGAGACUGGAGCGCAUCAGUCCUGACCAAUGGAGUGACGUCACUUUCAUCAGCAUGUUGUUGGGUCAAUAUCUGAAGCCGUUU